rnacentral:rRNA from 1 species
UACGUAGGGUGCAAGCGUUAAUCGGAAUUACUGGGCGUAAAGCGUGCGCAGGCGGUUGUGCAAGACAGAUGUGAAAUCCCCGGGCUCACCUGGGAAUUGCAUUUGUGACUGCACGGCUAGAGUGUGUCAGAGGGGGGUAGAAUUCCACGUGUAGCAGUGAAAUGCGUAGAGAUGUGGAGGAAUACCGAUGGCGAAGGCAGCCCCCUGGGAUAACACUGACGCUCAUGCACGAAAGCGUGGGGAGCAAACAGG